rnacentral:rRNA from 1 species
UAGCGUAGGGUGCGAGCGUUAAUCGGAAUACUGGGCGUAAAGCGUGCGCAGGCGGUUUUCCAAGACAGAUGUGAAAUCCCCGGGCUCAACCUGGGAAUGGCAUUUGUGACUGGAAGGCUAGAGUGUGUCAGAGGGGGGUAGAAUUCCACGUGUAGCAGUGAAAUGCGUAGAGAUGUGGAGGAAUACCGAUGGCGAAGGCAGCCCCCUGGGAUAACACUGACGCUCAUGCACGAAAGCGUGGGGAGCAAACAGG